GCCCCACCUUCCCCGAUCGCCCUGCGGGAUUUCCCCGUCACCGCUGUGGAGUCCUGCCGCUUCCUGGGCUCCAUCACAUGCCAGGACUUCAAGUAGGAGCUGAACAUCAGCUGCCGUCCCUCCGUGACUGUAGGUGACCCCUCUCGCUUUUUGAGCCCCUUCCCUCAUCAAGACCAAAACCUCCCGCCAUAGAAGCAGCUUCUUCCCCUCAAAACAGGUUGUAGCUGCACUUCCAAGAGAAGCAACGGGUCCACUACACCGACUGCAACCAGGUGACUUUGUGGUGGUGAAGGACUUCAGGAGGAAAAGUUGGAAAGCUAAACGGUGGCAUGGUCCAUUCCAGAUUCUCCUGGUCACCCAAACAGCGGCCAAGGUAGCUGAAAGGGCAACUUGGGUCCAUGCAUCCCAUUGCAAGAAGGUUCCAGAUCCAGUACCAGGAGUGGGCUCAGGCGACCCUACCUCCACAACAAGUGUCAAUCAACCGACACCACCGAUCCAGUGACCACGGACGGGCAGUUGACCGACAGACACACAGUGCAUUGUGAUCUGUGUUGACUGUCUACAACGCGGAGGCCUCACAAGAAAGAAGGUUGGCAGACUCCACAUCCCAACGUGUACCUGCGGACCAACACAAGAAGAAGAACACGGCCAGGACCCCUCCACAUAGACACAGUAGUCGUUUGUGCCACGACAGUUUUAUUCAUAUUAUUGCUUGCUUCAAUUUCAUUGUAUCUCAUCAUCUUUUUGUGAUUCCGUAGUCCGCUACCUAAAGAGUGGUUCUCUCUUAUCAUGGAACGACAGCGCUCAUGGAACCCCCUCAGACGACUGGGGGGACUCAUGUAACCAUGUGUUUAUUUAUCUGUAUUGUGUGAUAGGGAAUCAAGUUCCGGUAUUGUGAUUUAAACAUGUUUUCAUUUCUUUUUUAUUUCAAUACUGUACACAUGACAUCUGGGGUGUAACGCUCAAAUCCUGUGAGAAGGUUUCCAGUCCUUAUCUUCUCCUAACAGAUUUCUUCCUAUUUUCCCAUUUUGGAGGGGUUUUUUUAGGUUAGAGUUUUUGUUCUGUUGCAGGCAAAGUUUUGUGAGCGAUGUCCAGAUGUUCAUGUUUUGUGAUAAUUGAUGAGCUAGAUAUCAGAUGGUACAUUUUUAGAGUAUGCAUUAUAAAUUGAUUGCAUAGUUUGUGAUUAUUAUGAAAUCAAAAGAGUGGAAUGUAAUGGGAAAAUGAUAUGUAACACUUUUAAAUGCUUCGUUUGUAUAACCAGUUUAUUAGUUGCAAGUGCUUAGAUCACAAAGGCCCUGACAUAAGAACUGAUGUCUCCCACUUGGAUUAGAUGUUUCCAGCGUCAUAGCUGUAGAGAUUGAACAACGUGUUUGUUAUGUCUAUGACCACCUUUGUUUUAGCAUGUUGGGAGAGCAAGGAUACGGUCAAAGAACUGACGUGUCUUACAUGGAUAAGAUGUUCCCAGUACCCUGGCUGUAGAUACUCAACAAGAUGGUCAAAGGUUUCUGUUGACGCCACCGAUAUCUAAACUUAAGUAUAAGAACUGCCUCGAUGUGUUGGGGGCAAAAAGGAGGUUCUUGACAGUCUACUGACCACGUAGCUGUUGUGACCCUUUUUCCCUUGCAAGGAAACAUACGGAGAAAAGACAUACUUGACUCAGAGCCUUUGAUUCUUACUUAACGAUUGUCUGUGCAAAAUCUUCCACCACACCAGUUUAGGAGGUCAGUGAGUGUCUCAUGUUUUGAAAGGGUUAAGCCUGUCAAUCAUCCUAGCUACCUUUGUGUAUGGGGGGCACAAUUGAUUGAGGAAGCCUGGGAUUGGCAGAGGGAGAGAGUGGGGGGCUGGUGUUGUCGUGGUGCUAGUGGCAAUUGAGUCUGCAUAUGUAGCUUAUUUUCGCAUUGCACAGCUUCUUCUUCCUCUGUUGCUCUGCUUCCAGUGCAGCAAUCACAAUCUGCUCCACGUCUCUAGGUAAGGGAGGCCCAUGGUCCAUGGGACGAUAUUGUUGAUUGUUAUACUCUUCAAACAAUAGAUAGACUCUUUAGUAACGUGCAUCGUGAUUGGUCAGUGGACCAGCAUGACCUAACUGCUUCUUUUAACUUGAAUUGCCAGCAAGAAUCACGGUGAGCACAUUUUGAAGAGGGUACCUUCAUGCCAUCCAAAAAACUCCCAAAAAUCAUUUUAAAAUGUUUAAAUGAAUUUUUAAUCAUUUAAAAACCUACAUUUUUUCAAUUACCAGUCAAGUUUGAAAAUGCAUUCAAACCUUUGACCGGUACUGUAUGACAUUUAUUUCUUCAAUAAGUUUAAUGAAAUGAUCAAAAUAGUGUAUUUGACAUUAUGAUAUGGCAUAAUCCAGAUUGCAUAAUGAUAUGAUGUCCAAGGCUGUAUUUACAAGUUAAUUGUUACCUUGUAUACCUGUUGUAUACCUUGCAAAAGGUUGAAAACCAAACUCAACAAAGCUAAUGAUUUUCCAAUUAUUGAAGUACAAUUCAACAUCUAAUAUUUAGUCACAUUACAGAGCAAACAAUUGAUAACAGUAUCGCUUGAAUAAGCUUCCAUGUGAUGCAAUUGAUUCCCGUCAGUGAGCAACUUUCUCAAUGUUAACAAACAUUAUAAAAUCUCUGUUUCAAGGCCAUCGGAUGAUAUUACAUUAUUACGUUAUUUCCUCCAUCAAAUAUGUACCCAAAAAUACCUUCAUAAAGUUUGUGUAAAAGACGUAUUUUCAUUUUUUUGUUACACACCCAUAGACUUCAAAUAUGCUUAUCUUUUUCUUUUUACAUCUUUAAGCCUUGGAACCUUACUAUUUUUGCAUGACUUUUAAUCCUAAGGGUGUGACACACCACACCAACCUUAAAUUCUUAGA
ensembl:lncRNA